rnacentral:rRNA from 1 species
UACGUAGGGUGCGAGCGUAAUCGGAAUUACUGGGCGUAAAGCGUGCGCAGGCGGUUCGCUGUGUCCUGUGUGAAAGCCCCGGGCUUAACCCGUGGGAAUGGCAUGGGAAACUGGCGAGCUUGAGUGCGGCAGAGGGGGGUGGAAUUCCGCGUGUAGCAGUGAAAUGCGUAGAGAUGCGGAGGAACACCGAUGGCGAAGGCAGCCCCCUGGGUCGACACUGACGCUCAGGCACGAAAGCGUGGGGGAGCAAACAGG